rnacentral:rRNA from 1 species
GUGGGGAAUAUUGGGCAAUGGGGGCAACCCUGACCCAGCGACGCCGCGUGAGGGAAGAAGGCCUUAGGGUCGUAAACCUCUGUUGUGUGGGAAGAAGGAAGUGACGGUACCACACGAGGAAGUCCCGGCUAACUACGUGCCAGCAGCCGCGGUAAUACGUAGGGGACGAGCGUUGUCCGGAAUUACUGGGCGUAAAGGGCGCGUAGGCGGUCAUUUAAGUCAGCGGUGAAAUGGUCCGGCUCAACCGGAUCAUGCGGUUGAAACUGGAUGACUGGAGUGCUGGAGAGGCAAGUGGAAUUCCCAGUGUAGCGGUGAAAUGCGUAGAUAUUGGGAAGAACACCGGUGGCGAAGGCGACUUGCUGGCCAGCAACUGACGCUGAGGCGCGAAAGCCAGGGGAGCAAACGGGAUUAGAUACCCGGGUAGUCC